UCAAAUCACGCUGAAAACACCGGUUCUCGUUCGAUCACCGAAGUUAAGCAUCGUAGAGCCAGGUCAGUACUUAGAUGGGGACCGCUUGGGAACACCUGGUACUGUAAG
rnacentral:rRNA from 1 species